rnacentral:rRNA from 1 species
CCUACGGGUGGCAGCAGUGAGGAAUAUUGGUCAAUGGGCGCGAGCCUGAACCAGCCAAGUCGCGUGAGGGAAGACGGUCCUAUGGAUUGUAAACCUCUUUUGCCGGGGAGCAAAAGACCCCACGCUUGGCGUUCCGAGCGUACCCGAAGAAAAAGCAUCGGCUAACUCCGUCCCAGCAGCCGCGGUAAUACGGAGGAUGCGAGCGUUAGCCGGAUUUUAUGGGUUGAAAGGGUGCGCAGGGGGAAGAUCAAGUCAGCGGUAAAAUUGAGAGGCUCAACCUCUUCGAGCCGUUGAAAGUGGUUUUCUUGAGUGAGUGAGAAGUAUGCGGAAUGCGUGGUGUAGCGGUGAAAUGCAUAGAUAUCACGCAGAACUCCGAUUGCGAAGGCAGCAUACCGGCGCUCAACUGACGCUCAUGCACGAAAGUGUGGGUAUCGAACAGGAUUAGAUACCCCAGUAGUC